rnacentral:rRNA from 1 species
AGUCAGAGCCCGUUAAUGGGUGAUGGCGUGCCUUUUGUAGAAUGAACCGGCGAGUUACGAUUUGAUGCAAGGUUAAGCAGUAAAUGUGGAGCCGUAGCGAAAGCGAGUCUGAAUAGGGCGUUUAGUAUUUGGUCGUAGACCCGAAACCAGGUGAUCUACCCUUGGUCAGGUUGAAGUUCAGGUAACACUGAAUGGAGGACCGAACCGACUUACGUUGAAAAGUGAGCGGAUGAACUGAGGGUAGCGGAGAAAUUCCAAUCGAACCUGGAGAUAGCUGGUUCUCUCCGAAAUAGCUUUAGGGCUAGCCUCAAGUGAUGAUUAUUGGAGGUAGAGCACUGUUUGGACGAGGGGCCCCUCUCGGGUUACCGAAUUCAGACAAACUCCGAAUGCCAAUUAAUUUAACUUGGGAGUCAGAACAUGGGUGAUAAGGUCCGUGUUCGAAAGGGAAACAGCCCAGACCACCAGCUAAGGUCCCAAAAUAUAUGUUAAGUGGAAAAGGAUGUGGCGUUGCCCAGACAACUAGGAUGUUGGCUUAGAAGCAGCCAUCAUUUAAAGAGUGCGUAAUAGCUCACUAGUCGAGUGACACUGCGCCGAAAAUGUACCGGGGCUAAACAUAUUACCGAAGCUGUGGAUUGUCCUUUGGACAAUGGUAGGAGAGCGUUCUAAGGGCGUUGAAGCAUGAUCGUAAGGACAUGUGGAGCGCUUAGAAGUGAGAAUGCCGGUGUGAGUAGCGAAAGACGGGUGAGAAUCCCGUCCACCGAUUGACUAAGGUUUCCAGAGGAAGGCUCGUCCGCUCUGGGUUAGUCGGGUCCUAAGCUGAGGCCGACAGGCGUAGGCGAUGGAUAACAGGUUGAUAUUCCUGUACCACCUAUAAUCGUUUUAAUCGAUGGGGGGACGCAGUAGGAUAGGCGAAGCGUGCGAUUGGAUUGCACGUCUAAGCAGUAAGGCUGAGUAUUAGGCAAAUCCGGUACUCGUUAAGGCUGAGCUGUGAUGGGGAGAAGACAUUGUGUCUUCGAGUCGUUGAUUUCACACUGCCGAGAAAAGCCUCUAGAUAGAAAAUAGGUGCCCGUACCGCAAACCGACACAGGUAGUCAAGAUGAGAAUUCUAAGGUGAGCGAGCGAACUCUCGUUAAGGAACUCGGCAAAAUGACCCCGUAACUUCGGGAGAAGGGGUGCUCUUUAGGGUUAACGCCCAGAAGAGCCGCAGUGAAUAGGCCCAAGCGACUGUUUAUCAAAAACACAGGUCUCUGCUAAACCGUAAGGUGAUGUAUAGGGGCUGACGCCUGCCCGGUGCUGGAAGGUUAAGAGGAGUGGUUAGCUUCUGCGAAGCUACGAAUCGAAGCCCCAGUAAACGGCGGCCGUAACUAUAACGGUCCUAAGGUAGCGAAAUUCCUUGUCGGGUAAGUUCCGACCCGCACGAAAGGCGUAACGAUUUGGGCACUGUCUCAACGAGAGACUCGGUGAAAUCAUAGUACCUGUGAAGAUGCAGGUUACCCGCGACAGGACGGAAAGACCCCGUGGAGCUUUACUGUAGCCUGAUAUUGAAAUUCGGCACAGCUUGUACAGGAUAGGUAGGAGCCUUUGAAACGUGAGCGCUAGCUUACGUGGAGGCGCUGGUGGGAUACUACCCUAGCUGUGUUGGCUUUCUAACCCGCACCACUUAUCGUGGUGGGAGACAGUGUCAGGCGGGCAGUUUGACUGGGGCGGUCGCCUCCUAAAAGGUAACGGAGGCGCUCAAAGGUUCCCUCAGAAUGGUUGGAAAUCAUUCAUAGAGUGUAAAGGCAUAAGGGAGCUUGACUGCGAGACCUACAAGUCGAGCAGGGUCGAAAGACGGACUUAGUGAUCCGGUGGUUCCGCAUGGAAGGGCCAUCGCUCAACGGAUAAAAGCUACCCCGGGGAUAACAGGCUUAUCUCCCCCAAGAGUUCACAUCGACGGGGAGGUUUGGCACCUCGAUGUCGGCUCAUCGCAUCCUGGGGCUGUAGUCGGUCCCAAGGGUUGGGCUGUUCGCCCAUUAAAGCGGUACGCGAGCUGGGUUCAGAACGUCGUGAGACAGUUCGGUCCCUAUCCGUCGUGGGCGUAGGAAAUUUGAGAGGAGCUGUCCUUAGUACGAGAGGACCGGGAUGGACAUACCUCUGGUGUACCAGUUGUCGUGCCAACGGCAUAGCUGGGUAGCUAUGUGUGGACGGGAUAAGUGCUGAAAGCAUCUAAGCAUGAAGCCCCCCUCAAGAUGAGAUUUCCCAACUUCGGUUAUAAGAUCCCUCAAAGAUGAUGAGGUUAAUAGGUUCGAGGUGGAAGCAUGGUGACAUGUGGAGCUGACGAAUACUAAUCGAUCGAAGACUUAAUCAA